rnacentral:lncRNA from 1 species
CCAAAUGAUCAGCAUAAUCAAACCAAGCUACAUUGUAUCAGAGUUCCUUCACCCUAGCUUGAUGCAGGAUUCUACAUGUAUAAACAGGGUUUGCCACACACCAAAGCUCCAACUGUACGUGAGCCAAGAAUAUUGCCCGUAGAUCCCCCACAAUGUGUUUACCAUUUGAAGCUCGCUUCCAUAUAUAAUGUUCGCGUAUUCAGAAUUU